AUGUAUGUAUAUAGAAACGAAAUGUUGCUAAAUGAAGAGAAUUAAUGUGAGAAAGAGGGUCUGCCAAAUAUCAACCCAAUAGAGGGACCAACUAUUCGAAUUGACAGUACCUUGAUAAAUAAAGCAAUUAAGGGUACGAAGACAGGG